GAAAAUGACCUUAUGUUUUUUAUCUCUUACACUCAUAUGAGAAUAAGUUUCUUAUCUCUUACAGUCAUAUGAGCAUAAGUUUCUUAUCUCUUACAGUCAUAUGAGCAUAAUCCCUGGAUCAUUCACUUAGCUGGGAAGUUUCUUAUGAAUGAUGCAGAAGCUUCAACACUAAUUUCACACAAUCCAUUUCUUGGCAAAGACCCACCAAGAUUUGUACGGGCACUUCACUACAAAUACAGGUACACAAGCCUGUGGGAUGUAGAUAGACGUCACUGGUACAAACGUUCAAUACAAGGUAUUUAUCUUCCUCCUGUAGACAUUCGUAUGCUCAAACCACUUUUCAGGCGAAUGCAGUGGAGAUCCCUUGGUUGAUGAGAAGUAAAUACUAUGAUUCUUUUGCCUUUGUUAAGUUUGUUGAUCUUGAAUAUAGAAAUGUUGUUGAUAUUCACAAUAUUCUCUUUACAAAGGAUAUAUAUAUAUUCUGUAUAUAUAUAUAUAUAAUUUUUUGAUUUUUUGUAUAUUUGAUGCAUAUCAACUCUCCGCUUUGAUUUUAUUAGUGCAAAGUUUCCAGUAUUUUUUAUUUUCUAUUUGCAUUGAAAUGUAUCAUUACUCUUUAUAGAUUAUUAAAUUAAUCUGUAAAAGGUCAAUCACCUAUAUAUAUAUAUAUAUAUAUAUAUAUAUAUAUAUGUGUGUGUGUGUGUGUGUGUGAAUACUGAAGGUACUGUCUAUGGUCAAUCAUCAUUUUCCUUUUUUGUAAGGAUCUGAAAAUUCUGCAAACCCUCAUUUUAGGGAGAUGACCCUCUGGGUACCCCUCUAUGUUGAAGACCUAGAUAAAUUAGUAGCCUGUUGUGAAAAUGUAGAGCUUGGUAUUAAUCUAAAUAGAUAUAUGAUACCAAAAUACAAAAAGUGUAGGUAGUUAACAAGCAUUUAAGUAAUGCCUAUGAUAUAUAGAAGGUAAAAUUAAUAUAUAGUAAUCCCUAUCCCCCAGCUAUAUGGGUUUGCUUCACUCUCCUAGUAUCCCUUUAUAAUCAUCCAUACCCCUUGGGUGCUCCCCCAAUUAUAGACACCUCUGCAGUGAAAAGGCAGAACGCAUUAACUCCAAAAAUGCGAUUUUUAUGAAUUUGGUAUCUUGGGAAUCGUCAUUCAAAGGCGAAUUUUGAUACAACCAUCAUGGUGUCUGAAUGUCAAUAAAGGUAUGGUCAGUUUUGUCUAUCGAUAACAAUGAUAGGAGUAAAUAUACAUGCAGCCAAACCUUUAACAUUGAUUUUCUCAAAACAUGGAUUUUGGAGUUAAUGCGUUCUGCCUUUUUGCUGCAGACCUAGUCACACUACUGCUACCACCCCCAUCCCAUAUUGGUCCCACAGUUAACACCACAGCUGGUGUAUAAUGUUAGUUAUUUUGCAAAUUGAUUGUAUUUUAUGGAAAGUGUUUCUGUAUAAAAAAGAGGUAAAUUAUUCAUCCUGUAUGUCAGGUGAUGAGAGCAAUGUUACCAGUAUGAAAUAAAAGUAAACCAAAUGUACAUUCAAUAGAUCUGAUUUUGUUUGAAAGCUUAUAUAUUUCCAUUCUAAUCUUUGGAAUAGAAUUUGAAACCCCAUGGGGACUUUCCAGUUGAGUUGCCUAUACUAAGCAUUAACUUUCAAAAACUGAUGAGUUAUUUUUUAAUAUGAAUGUAUGUAAUGACUAUGAAGCUUAGUAAUGACUGUAUUCUCUCCUCCAUCCUCAAACCUUUAGAGGGCUAGCCCCUCCCCCCAUCCCUUUACCUCCUGCUACCCCACUGGGUCUAUUCUUAUCUAGGUUUUCAAUAAGUAUUGGACAUGAAAGCAUGAGGUAAUACAUUUUCUGGUCAGUAAAUUUGAGGACUUCAAACAUCAAUGACCAAAUUUGCUUAUAUGAAAGUUACAUAUCCAGUGUUAAUGUAGCUGGGUGCCAGAGGGCCAAGCUAUUGCGAUCUUUAAGUUUGAAUAAUUUUUGUUGUCUUCUGGGGUUCUUUUAGGGUAUUUGUUAAAAAAAAAAGAUAAUUAUAACAAGUUAGAUAAGAUUUUUGAAAAUGAUGAAAAUAAGAAAUUAUGAUAGAAUGUUUUCUGACCUGGGUAGGUACCAUUAAUGUAAUUUAAUGAUCUUUUACAGGUUAAGUAUAUUGAUGCAUUAUAAGUAGCUAUGGAUUUUCCAUUACUGUAAUCUGAUUUUACAUCUGAAUCUUCCUGCAUUAUUUACUUAUUUCAUAACAAAAUUGACUAUUCUUAUAUGACCUUGUUAAAACUUUACUUUUGGGUUUAGAAGGCAAGAAUUUUACUCAAGGUUGUUAUCACCUGGAAUUUGUCAUCACUUUGACUUUGUCAAUAGUGUGAGUAACAUAGUUACUUGCAAAGUUUCAGAGAUAGAUGAUGUACUGAGGAGUUAUGAUAUGCCAUGCUGUUAUUCACACAUAUUACUUGUAUCCACUUGGUGAUUGGUACUUGAGAGUUCAUUCAAAUUUACAUGUUCAUUAUUUAUUUAUUAGGCUAAGCUUUUGAGCAGGGAUGUCAAACUCAUUUACUCUGGUGGGCCGGAGGAAGUUAUGCAAACCAGAUAAUACAUUAGAGGAACCCUUUAUAAACUGUUUUAACCCUUCCACACCAUCAUAUCACACCAUCAGAAUAUUUUCCACAUGAGGGAUGAUGACCUAUCACGUUAUGUACUUCCAACGUGUAUACAUGUACAUAGUUACAUUUGUAUAUACACAUUGUAGCUGGAUUUGUAUGUGCACGUUUUUCUUGACUUGUCAAAAAAUGUAAAAAAUAAAAGAUAACCUCUUUUUGUCAACCCCAAGAAUAGACUGGGUGAAAAUCACUCUUGAGAGGUUCAGUGCAGCUUUGCACCUUGAGAAAUCUCUGAUCAGGAAGCUGCACACACUUGCUACAUUGCCAGUGGAAGCAGCAUUAGGCAGAUAUAUACUCCAUUGUGAAUGGGUUAAAACAUGAAAAAAUAUAUUAUGUGUAAAAGACAAAAAGGCUAUUUAUUAAUAAAAUUGGCUAAGAAUAUAAUGUAAAUUAAAUUCUUAAAAGAUAAAAAGGCAGUCAACCUUUUAAAUCCAAUUCCUGCAAAGAAGGAUGUUAUGGUUCCUAAUGAACUGAGGGUACUAUUGGCCAACAACACUUCAAAGUUGGUACCCCAGUUUAGGACAGAUUAUCCACAAAGCCUGAGAGCAAUCUGACUUGACAAAUUUAGAAAAGGGGUCUCCAUUUUACUGCAAUAAUGUCAAUUAUGUGUCACCAGAUACAAGAGGUUAAAUGAUGUGGAACACAAGAUAUGGCUGAAGCCGCAUGUAAGAGUGUAUCAAACUACAUGUUUGACACUCCUGCUUUAGAGCAGACUUCAUGAAUACUAUGUUUUACUGGAUAUAGGAGAAAGGAUUACAGCUGACUUAGUUUACUGAGGUCUUAACCAGAUAAUGACAGGGUAGUUUUGGCUCUGAUUGGUCAAAACACCUGGGUAUUUCAAUGCAUAGGCCUAAUGCCUCAGGUUAUUCGCCAGCUCUAGCCGUGGCCAACCACUGCGCUCAAUCACCCAGCGUGCAAACCAUACAAAAAACCAUGACAUGAUAUCACAUCCCCGGUGGCAAGUGCUACCACCACAUGAUGAGAUAUCAUAUCACCUGGUGUUAACGGGUUAAGCUGUUGUUACAAUAUUCAUAAAUACAGUCGGUAGGCUGCUGACCAUCCACUGGUUAAGAUACUCUUUUGUACAGUAAAAUAGCCAUCCUGUGGAUGAUGUUAGUCUAACCAGCCAAUGUUAAACCAUUUUUAACUUGUCCUCUCGUGUUCAGUACAUAGGCCCAUUGAUUUUUAUGAAUAAUGUAAUAUCUUUUCAUAUCUUUUCUUUUCUUUUCUUAAAGACAAGUGUUCCUGGUGCAAGCACAAAAGGUUUCCAUUUUAUCUAUCACUUAAGGUUCAAAUUUUGUGCCUUGGUGCCUGUUGAUGUUGAGCUUAAUAUGCAUCUAUGUUCAGUAGAAUCAAAUCUAUAAUUGUCACCCUUUCUUUAGUCCAGGUUGUGAAAGAAUUUUUUUAUUUUUUUUAUUUUGAUGUUAGUGAUAUAUCUUCAGCUAUUGUAAAGAAAACAUUGUGAUCCUACUUGACUUUCUUUAUUAUAAUCUUCAUAGUAUGAAUUUGAGAUUACAGGUAUCAUCAUAAAUGUGAACUCAUUCCCUUCUUUUGUAAAAGUUAGUUUAGGUUAAAUAUAUAAACAUCAAUGACCUCACUUCCUGCCCAUUUGCCACUGAUAUCCUACUUGAGGGAUUGGUUGAGAAUGAUGAUAAUCAAGUAUAAUGUAGUCUACUCAAACCUUGUUUUGUGGAAUUAGGUAGAAGUAUAGAGGAUUGGUAAAUUAUCUUGUCAGUUUUAGGGGAUAGCUGUACCUGUAUUGAUAUGAUCCUCCCAACCCUCCAUCUUUGGAAUAUAAUAGAUAGUGAAAGUCUGAUAGAAAGCAUAUUCAUUAAAGCUGGUGGCUUUGUAACAUUAUAGAACAUUUCUGGUCAGUCUCCUCUACCUCAACAAGAACAAAAACUUCAAAACAAUCAGCUUCAGGAUAAGCUCAAAUAACAAAGGAAAAUCCUGUCUUGUGGAGUAAAUAACUAUGCAAGAUCUCUAUUUUCCAAGCAAGUAUCAAGAGAUAUUCUUGGCAGUCCUUUGAUACUACCAGGUCUUUCUCUUCCUCAACCUUCCUAUUCAAGGUUGUAGAAUGUAAUACUGCAUUCACGCAGAUGAACACUGUCCAACAUGCUGUGCCCUCACCUGUCAUAGGUUAUCCCCAUGAUGUUAUUCACAUGGCUGAGUCAACAAGUGGCUUGACCUGACUGGCAAGAUCCAGUACUACCAGUAGGUGGAUGAAUGCUGUUCAGCCAUUGUCGUGAUUUCUCUCUAUAUUUUAGUGGUUUUGUUUGGAAAGUGCCCAAUUAUGGGCAAAACCGUUAUGCUUGCUGGACAGUGUUUAACUGUGAUGACACAACAUUAUCCUUCUUUUUUUUUUUUCUUACAAAAAUUAAUAGCAACGUUGAUCACUGAAUCACAUCUGAUACUGAAAUUGACAGAGCUAUUUGUCUCACAUAAAGGUGACAUUAAAACAGUAAAUCCUUCCUGUUUACAAUUUAGACAGCCUUUUGUUUCAUUUUUACAUACAAAAGUAUGGUAUGAGUUUUGUGAUGGUGAGCAAGCAGCUGUAUCAUCUAUCAUUUAAAAAUGGACUUUUUUUUUUCUUCUUCUUUCCUUUUUUUUUUUUCUUCACUUGAGUUAAUCAUCGAGAAAGACUAAUCUACAGUUAAUAGGUUAAAAGCAUUCUACAUUUACAGUCUUGUGUGAACUGAAUAUAUCAUAACUUGGUGUAGUUAGUAACAGUUCACUAAUACAGAAUCCAAGAUUUUCCUACUUAUAAGCAAAAUAAUUGCAUGUGUUACACUUUAUCAAAUAUCAUGAGAGUCAGUUGUGAUCUUAGAAUAAAAAUGUAGAAAAAAGUCCCAGAUAGAAAGUAAGUUUUUCUAACAAAGCAUAUGUUUGCUGUAAACAUUAGAGUAUGAUAUCCAUUUUAAAUUUUUACGUAAUCAGUGUAAUAAGCAGUUCCUUUUUGUUUAAGGUGAUUAUUUUUAAAAUGCAGGUUAUGUACUUAAAGUUUUAUCAGCAAUAAAAAUUUGCUCUAU
rnacentral:lncRNA from 1 species